AGUAAAUACCCUCCCAAUCUAUUCUCCUCUCCUACAAAUUAACAGAGCCUCUCUCAAUAUAUCAAAUUUCGUUUCCAAAAUCUUUUGCAACAGGGUUUGUUCUAAAUCCAAGAAAAAGAAAUCAGAACGUGGUGGAGAUGGUAUACAUCAACACAUCUCAGGUUCCAAAUCUUUUGCCAAGGUCAAAUAUGAUAUGCGAUGGAGUUGGGUGAGGAGCCAGCUAUCACUGACUUUAACUCAGAAACAUCAAUCACACCAGAUGCGGCAUUUUACAAGGUAGAUGUCGGAUUAUUUUGUUCUUGGUUCUAUUGCUUCAGUUUUUAAUGCUUAUUGGUAAAUGAUUAAUUAGUUUUUUUUUUUGUUAUGGCUAUGCGGUAGUGUUAUGUUUCAUUGUAAGUGUAGUAAUUUUCUUUCUUGUUUUUCUGGUUUUGUAGGUGGUCAAGCCACACAAAGGAAUGUUGUUUGAACUUGGAACAGCACAAAUAGAGGAGUUGAUUAAUCUUACUGGAAUUGUCAACUUGAUGAGCCAGCAGCUCACUGCUUUGUGAGAAGCUAGAGACAGCCUCUGAUACAUCUACCAACCCUUCUCCAUCCCCAACUCAUAGCACCAAUGAGCAGAGUAUCUAGAUGGUGUUGCUGACUUUCUAUUAUCUAUUUUUUUUCUGUGAAGAAACUGAAGACAUAAUAAUUAUAAUCUUUUGUGUUUAGUUUGAACUUUGUUAUGUCAUUGGAUUUCACAUCUGUUUCAUAUUAUGUUUUCUACUAGUAAUGAAUGUUAUGUUUCCAUUA